AGUGUGGCACCUGUUCCAGGCCAGGAGUCUGGCAGGGAGCAGAGAGCUGCCCAAGUCUCAGGCGUGUGCCCACCGAGUCUCCAGGUCUCAACCCGCUCUAUCCACCGAACUUCCUGGCAUGGUUUUACCAUCCCACAGGUUGCCUUUAGAUACGGCAUUUUAUCACAGCACCAGAAAAGCAACAAAUUCCCCCUGCAAUUCCACUCUUGAGCUGGAACCUGUGUGAAGUGAAAAAGUACAGUCAGACAACACAUACAACAGCCUCACUCACAACAGCCCACACUGGGAAUAACCCAGUGUACCCCCGAUGAUGAAUGGACGAACUGAUGAGGUAUCUGCACAAAGGGAUGCCAGCCAGCCACUCAGUUAGAUGAAGUCCGGCUUUGUGCCUCAACAUGAAGCAACCUUUGGAGCAUUGAGUGAGAGAAGGCAGUUUAAAGUGACUACAUAUUGUAUGGUACCAUUUAUAUGGCGUGCUUAAAUGAGCAGUCAAUCCAUAGACGCAGAGAAUCCUAGCCCUGGGGGCCAGAGGAGAAAUAGGAGUGACCCAGUACAGUGGCAGGUGGAUUUCUGAGUUUGAGGCCAGCCUGAUCUACAGAGUGAGUUCCAAGACAGUCAGGGGAACACAGAGAAACCCUGUCUCAAAACAAACAAACAAACAAACAAACAAACAAAAAGACUCAGUCCCUGACUGCUGGGCAUCUGGAGGGUAUGAGGAGGCAAAGGCAUGGCCAACAGUGCCCAGGGGUCCCAAGCUCACUGGGUCCGAGGGACUGAGGGGCUGCCAUACAGAGAGGAGACCUGCCAGACAUAGUAGCAGACCUGACGACUCAUGGACCCAGGAUGCUAAGUGCUGAGGUCAGCUACGCCCUGCUUCACCUUCUUUCUGGAUUGUGCUUCUUACAUCCUAGGUGUGGGCGCAUGUCCCCAGCUUGUCCAUGUGCAUUGCACUUUGAGAUCUGUGGUGACAGACUAGCAGCCCAGACUUCGACAGCUAGUUCUCUCUUUUCCUUUCUACCUCAGCCAGGUCUGAGGAAGCUGAGCGUGGAAGUCUGUCUUGUCUACAGGCAAAGGAAGGCAUCAGCUUGUAGCUCCCGGACGUGGAGAACAGGGAGUAAUGUCUGGGGCUGCCCCUCCCUGGCCUGCUCUUUGCUCUCUCAGCCUUCUCCAUCCCCAGCUACCCACUGAUUUCUCAAAUCCUGUUUCCAAGAAAAUCCUGUCCCUGCCCCUGGGACUGCAAUAUGGCCCCAGAGCUUCCCAAAUGGAAAAGAUGUGCCCGGGCUCGGUGUCCUUCUGAGACUCUGAGCUGUCUAGGGAGGCAGAGCUAUGAGCUGCCUCCAUUGAAAGGCACAAUCUGGAAAGCUGUCCUGGGCCAGGGAAGGGCAUUGAAAGCCUUACUAUUCAGUGCAGAUAGGUUUUACCCUAGCUGAAAUACUUGAGGUGACAAACGGCUGUCUAGGAGAGAGAAGCCCAGAGUAUCUCUCUGAGUUAAGCCAUAGUCACUGCCUAAGUCUCCACUCCACUUGACCGUCUUCCCCUGAGGGAGACAAGCCCACACAUCUUAGAACACUGGGAAAGCGGUGUAAGGGAAGAAACCCCCGCUUGCAGAAAGACUUCUAACUGAGAUGUUGCUGUUCCCAUGACCCUGUGUGACCCCUGGGAGGAGCUGCCGGAUGCCCCACGUGACCUGGCUGUGACUCACUUCUCCCUGCAGCCUCAGGACUUCAUCUGCAAUAAAGCUUUAGAGCCUCUCCCAGCUCUGCAAGCCCCUUACCUGAGGCCAUUUCCCCUCCCGGGCCUCCUCCUCAUGCCCAGCUACGGCCUGUCCCUGCCGCUCCUUCAGGAGGCUUCUCCCAUCAACCCAGACUUUGCCACAAGAACAGGCCAAUUUAGGGAAGCAAGAAUAAAUCUCUGGAGGCCCAGCAGCUCUGGAAAAGCUGAUCAGCCCAGGACAGAGGCUCAGGUAUCCCUUGGGACUGGACUGCCUGAGAGAAUACGGAGUCUCUGCUCAACCCCAUUGCCUUACCAGCCGUACUUUCUGAAACAGCUUUGGCCCAGGAACCUGCAGGGCAGAAUGUCCGUCCACCUGAUUUCCAAGGGCAUGUCAUUUUCCCUUUGUAAGGAAGGGUCUUCCUCCUCACCUGGGGGUGUCCUCAAACACAGAAGAGAUGGUGGGUGGGGGGCAGGCGGCUACAAAGCUUGACAAAGACCUCUCCCUUAAAGCGUCCAUCUUCUUUGGCCAGCACAGGAGCUCUGGUGUCUGCCUUGCCACUCAGUUAGCACACUGGACUUUAUAGCCUAUUUGCUCUGGCUCAAGAGGGUGUCCUGGGCCCUUCCCAACCCCAUUUCCCCCGUAACUGUCAGCUUUCUCCUGGACCCCAAGGGCCACGAAUCAGUUGCUCUAUUAAAUGAAAGUGUCAUAAAGGUUCUGGAUUCACCUUUUUUUUUUUUUAAGGACAUCUUGGUGGGGAAAAACCACGUAGUGCCUGCCACAGAGAUUCACACCACCCACUUUCACUGUCAUCAGGAAAUUAUGUCCUAAAAUAGACAAGGCUGUCAGCUUCUAGUGACCACAGACUAUUCUGGGCAGUACUUUGAAAGGAAAAAUGAUUUAUUAAAAGCAACCAGGCCCUAGUGUUUUGCUGUCCUGCUGUGGAGAAAGUCCUGGGCCAUGACCCAAGGUCGUGAGUGAGUGUCCUGGGAAGGCAGAGACCUGGGACUCGCUUCUGUUGUCCUCCCUGCUCCACUGACAGGGCAGGUCACUUGGGUUGAGUUUCCCUGCUUAUAAACAACAACAAUAAAGCUAGUGAUGGGUGUUCUCAAGAUGAGGAGUAGGUCACUAGGUCAUCGUAGAGACGCAAGGUGACCAACCAGAUCUUUAAACGGUAAAAGUAUGUGUGGCUGGAUUAAAACGCAAGAAAAAAAUUCUCGGGUGGGCAACAAGACUUUAUUUCCCUCUCCCAGGGGAUUUUCUUUUCUAGCUGAUUAGAAAGCGUGGCACAUAACUCAUCCCCCUUAGCAGAUGCUGGGGCUGCAAGAUCUGACCCAGGCUUCAGUGCUAGCCCCACCCCAGCACAGCCCUGCCCCUCUUCCCAAAAGCCACCAAUGAAACUCCGAGGGACUCCAUGACUUCAUCAGAAAGUAAUUUCAUUGGCUGUUGCUACCGCUCCUGUCCAUCCCAUUGGACCUCAAAAAAGCUCGGCCGUGCAGCUUCAGGCUUUGGAGUUCCUAGGCAGGUCUGCAAACCUGGGCUAUGUGUCUUAAAAUAGUUGAUCCUGUAGCGGGUAAAGUCUUGAAAAGAGCCGAAUAACUCUUCAACCGGCCAGAGUGCACAUCUCCUGCCCUGGGCCUGUGACUGCUGGUGAUAGCUGGUGCUGUCAUCUUCCCUAAUAACUGACAGAUUAACUGACAGAAUAACUUCAGCUUCUCAAUCUCUACUCACGUAUUUAACAGCGAAACUCACCGUUCACUGUUAACUUCUAUUCAAG
rnacentral:lncRNA from 1 species